rnacentral:rRNA from 1 species
UACGAAGGGGGCUAGCGUUGCUCGGAAUCACUGGGCGUAAAGGGCGCGUAGGCGGCCAUUCAAGUCGGGGGUGAAAGCCUGUGGCUCAACCACAGAAUUGCCUUCGAUACUGUUUGGCUUGAGUAUGGUAGAGGUUGGUGGAACUGCGAGUGUAGAGGUGAAAUUCGUAGAUAUUCGCAAGAACACCGGUGGCGAAGGCGGCCAACUGGACCAUUACUGACGCUGAGGCGCGAAAGCGUGGGAGCAAACAGG